AGAACGAACGCUGGCGGCAUGCCUAAUACAUGCAAGUCGAACGAACUCUUCGGAGUUAGUGGCGCACGGGUGCGUAACGCGUGGGAAUCUGCCCCUUGGUUCGGAAUAACAGUUGGAAACGACUGCUAAUACCGGAUGAUGACGAAAGUCCAAAGAUUUAUCGCCAAGGGAUGAGCCCGCGUAGGAUUAGCUAGUUGGUGAGGUAAAGGCUCACCAAGGCAACGAUCCUUAGCUGGUCUGAGAGGAUGAUCAGCCACACUGGACUGAGACACGGCCCAGACUCCGUACGGG
rnacentral:rRNA from 1 species